GACAGAGGUGCCGAGCGUUAGGCGGAAUCACUGGGCUUAAAGCGUGUGUAGGCGGACCGUUAAGUACCUUGUGAAAUCCCACGGCUCAACCGUGGAACGGCUGGGUAUACUGGCGGUCUUGGGCCACCUAGGGGGUCAUCGGAACAGGCGGUGGAGCGGUGAAAUGCGUAGAUAUCGCCUGGAACGCCGACGGUGAAAAACAGAUGACUGGGGGGUGUGCCGACGCUGAGACACGAAAGCCAGGGGAGCGAACGGGG
rnacentral:rRNA from 1 species